GCGACGCUGGCUGCGUGCUUAACACAUGCAAGUCGAACGCUGAAGCCUGGUGCUUGCACCGGGUGGAUGAGUGGCGAACGGGUGAGUAACACGUGAGUAACCUGCCCCUGACUUCGGGAUAAGCCCGGGAAACUGGGUCUAAUACCGGAUACGACUGCCGGACGCAUGUCUGGUGGUGGAAAGUUUUUUCGGUUGGGGAUGGGCUCGCGGCCUAUCAGUGUGUUGGUGAGGUAAUGGCUCACCAAGACGACGACGGGUAGCCGGCCUGAGAGGGCGACCGGCCACACUGGGACUGAGACACGGCCCAGACUCCUACGGGAGGCAGCAGUGGGGAAUAUUGCACAAUGGGGGAAACCCUGAUGCAGCGACGCAGCGUGCGGGAUGACGGCCUUCGGGUUGUAAACCGCUUUCAGCAGGGAAGAAGCGCAAGUGACGGUACCUGCAGAAGAAGUACCGGCUAACUACGUGCCAGCAGCCGCGGUAAUACGUAGGGUACGAGCGUUGUCCGGAAUUAUUGGGCGUAAAGAGCUCGUAGGUGGUUGGUCACGUCUGCUGUGGAAACGCAACGCUUAACGUUGCGCGUGCAGUGGGUACGGGCUGACUAGAGUGCAGUAGGGGAGUCUGGAAUUCCUGGUGUAGCGGUGAAAUGCGCAGAUAUCAGGAGGAACACCGGUGGCGAAGGCGGGACUCUGGGCUGUAACUGACACUGAGGAGCGAAAGCAUGGGGAGCGAACAGGAUUAGAUACCCUGGUAGUCCAUGCCGUAAACGUUGGGCACUAGGUGUGGGGGGCAUUCCACCGUUUCU
rnacentral:rRNA from 1 species